AGCGAACGCUGGCGGCAGGCCUAACACAUGCAAGUCGAACGCCUGUAGCAAUACAGGAGUGGCAGACGGGUGAGUCACCCGUGGGAACGUGCCCUUCGGUUCGGAAUACCCCAGGGACACUUGGGCUAAUACUGGAUACGUCCGCGAGGAGCAAGAUUCAUCGCCGAAGGAUCGGCCCGCGUCCGAUUAGCUAGUUGGUGGGGUGAUGGCUCACCAAGGCGACGAUCGGUCGCUGGGCUGAGAGGAUGAUCAGCCACACUGGGACUGAGACACGGCCCAGACUCCUACGGGAGGCAGCAGUGGGGAAUAUUGGACAAUGGGCGCAAGCCUGAUCCAGCCAUGCCGCGUGGGUGAUGAAGGCCCUAGGGUUGUAAAGCCCUUUCGGCGGGGAAGAUAAUGACGGUACCCGCAGAAGAAGCCCCGGCUAACUUCGUGCCAGCAGCCGCCGUAACAC
rnacentral:rRNA from 1 species